rnacentral:rRNA from 1 species
UGAGGAAUCUUGCGCAAUGGGCGAAAGCCUGACGCAGCAAUGCCGCGUGUGGGAGGACGCCCUUCGGGGUGUAAACCACUUUUCGGUGGGAAGAGAGCGGACGGUACCACCGGAACAAGUCACGGCUAACUACGUGCCAGCAGCCGCGGUAAUACGUAGGUGGCGAACGUUAUCCGGAAUUACUGGGCGUAAAGGGUCCGCAGGCGGCGGGACAAGUCCUGUGUGAAAGCGCCUGGCUCAACCAGGCGAGGCCGCAGGAAACUGUCCAGCUAGCAUCUGACAGAGGUCGGUGGAAUUCCCGGUGUAGUGGUGGAAUGCGUAGAGAUCGGGAGGAACGCCCAAGGCGCAGGCAGCCGGCUGGGUCAAGAUGGACGCUGAGGGACGACAGCGUGGGGAGCGAACAGGAUUAGAUACCCCUGUAGUCC